CCUACGGGUGGCAGCAGUGGGGAAUAUUGCACAAUGGGGGAAACCCUGAUGCAGCAACGCCGCGUGAGUGAAGAAGGUUUUCGGAUUGUAAACUUCUGUCAGUAGUGAAGAAGAAUGACGGUACCGAAGGAGCAAGCCACGCCUAAUUACGUGCCAGCAGCGGCGGUAAUACGUAGGUGGCAAGCGUUGUCCGGAAUUACGGGGUGUAAGGGGAGCGCAGGCGGGAAGCCAAGUCAGCUGUGAAAGCCACGGGCUUAACUUGUAGACUGCAGUUGAAACUGGUUUUCUUGAGUGAAGUAGAGGUUGGCGGAAUUCCGAGUGUAGCGGUGAAAUGCGUAGAUAUUCGGAGGAACACCAGUGGCGAAGGCGGCCAACUGGACUUUAACUGACGCUGAGGCUCGAAAGUGUGGGGAGCAAACAGGAUUAGAUACCCGGGUAGUC
rnacentral:rRNA from 1 species